rnacentral:rRNA from 1 species
CGGAAUCAUUGGGUUUAAAGGGUCCGUAGGCGGGCUUCUAAGUCAGUGGUGAAAGUCUGCAGCUUAACUGUAGAAUUGCCAUUGAUACUGGGAGUCUUGAAUUACUGUGAAGUGGUUAGAAUAUGUAGUGUAGCGGUGAAAUGCUUAGAUAUUUCAUGGAAUACCAAUUGCGAAGGCAGAUCACUAACAGUAUAUUGACGCUGAGGGACGAAAGCGUGGGGAGCAAACAGGAUUAGAUACCCCCGUAGUCGUCAGUAC